rnacentral:rRNA from 1 species
AUGGCCAUGAGCGACGCGGGACGCCGGGAGUUGCCCACGGACGUCGUGGUGGAGGUCCUGCUGCGGCUGCCGCCGAUCUCCCGGCGCCGGGUCGGCCUCGUCUGCAGUCUCUGGCGCGAAAUCAUCGACAAGCACACAGAGAUGCAGAGCCGCGCCACAGCCCUCCAUUGGGAUACCUGGGACGCCGUCGCCCACGUCGUCGACGACAUGUCCAAGUCAUCGACGGGGAGCAACACAGAGCUGUGGAUUCCGGACAGAGUGGCGGCCGACUUCCGGUUCCUAAACAACAGUAGCCUGCAGCUGAUCGGCACGUGCAAUGGUCUUCUCUGCCUGUGCGACAACAAGGAGGCACCCGGCGGCGCCGUCACCCUGUUCAACCCGGCCACGUACGAGGAGCUGCCGGUCCCGCCGCUGCCUUGCACACGCCCGUAUAUCCCGUCUGUGGAGAGAUACGCCUGCUGGGAGGACUGGCACGAGGCGUACAACUUCGCGUACCACCCUACGUCCGGGCAGUACAAGGUGGUGCACGUCCCAUGCAGCAUCAACAAGGUAUACAAGUUCGACGCUGUGCAGGUGCUCACGCUCGGGGAGGCGUCAUGGCGGGAGGUUCCCGCUGGUCCUGCAGAGGGUGCGAGCUGCAACCUUGGCGCCGGCAUAAUCAGUAUCGAUGGCGCGACGUACUGGGUCAUAGAGAGUGCCGGAGCAAGCUGGGUCGUGUCACUUGACCUCGAGAACGAGGUGGUCACCCGUGUGAAGGGGCUACCCGGGCAUCCCGCCGGGCCUGAACACUAUCACCUAACGGAGGUGCACGGGAGGCUGGGCAUUGUUGUCCGUGGCGUUUCAAGAACGACAGAGGUGUGGGUUCUGGACGAGGGGCGGCGGAAGUGGAGCUGCCAGUACAGCCUUACGCGGCAUAAUGUCCCGCGGCCACACUUCGUAUUUGGAGAGUGCAUCUUGACAUUGGACGAGAGCUUGAUACGCGGGCACUACAACGAGAGCUUGAUACGCGGGCACUAUAGACAGACAGGCGUGUGGUCAUCGUCCAACAAGGCGGUACCGGUGCGGGUCAGCCACCGGGCUCAUGGGAGGCCGCUCGUGAUAACAAGUGGGAGGGGACGGACAUUCCGCUAUGUCAAGACGAUGGAGCCACUUAGCAUUUACUAUGCGCCCUAA